GAGGGCUUCCUGGCCCGGACCAAGGGCACAGGUCUCGUCGUCAAAUCGUGGGCGCCAGAGCAUGACGUGGAGCACGAUGCGGUGAGCUGCUUCGUGACGCAUGGAUGGAUCUCCAUGCUAGAGUCGGUCAUGGCCGGCAUGCCCAUGCGGGCCUGGCCGCUCUACGCAGGGCAACGACUUAUCAGGGUCUACCUGGAGAAAGAGUUGGGGGUGGCUGUCGCGGUGGAAGGGUACCACAAGGAGGUGGUCGAAGCCGAUGAGGUGGCAUCAUGGGUGAGGUGGGUGAUGGAGUCUGACGGCGGGAAGGUGCUCUGGGAGCAGACGUUGGCGGCCCUGCGGCAGGGCAAGGAGGUGCUGCUCGAGGGCGGGGAGUCCAGUGUGACCUUGGCACAACUUGUGGAUUGGUUGAUUGGCUCAUCUUCACAUGGGAGAUGA
rnacentral:rRNA from 1 species